GAGACCCCAGGUCAAGCGGGAUUACCCGCUGAGUUUAAGCAUAUCA
rnacentral:rRNA from 1 species